CAUCGGCAUCAACGAGUGGCCUCCAUGUUGAAUGUAAACAAAAAGCUACUUGCCAUCUCUGCGCUAUCGUCAUCGUGUAAAGCCUACCUCAACGGUUGUGAUUGGUGCCUCGAUUUG